UACGUAAGUGGCUAGCGUUGCUCGGAAUCACUGGGCGUAAAGGGCGCGUAGGCGGCGUUUUAAGUCGGGGGUGAAAGCCUGUGGCUCAACCACAGAAUGGCCUUCGAUACUGGGACGCUUGAGUAUGGUAGAGGUUGGUGGAACUGCGAGUGUAGAGGUGAAAUUCGUAGAUAUUCGCAAGAACACCGGUGGCGAAGGCGGCCAACUGGACCAUUACUGACGCUGAGGCGCGAAAGCGUGGGGAGCAAACAGG
rnacentral:rRNA from 1 species